GAAAUUACAAGUAAUCGGAUCAUUUUCAUUAUCAAUACAAUGUUCGAUUUAAUUCUAAUAAUCAUGAUCAGAAGAUACAAUUGAUUGUACAAAUUUUAGAAGAAAAAAAUAACGGGACACAAGAAUCAGUAGUUCAUCGGGUAGAAGUAGUCCAAGCUGUCCAUAAAAGAAGAAUGGAAAUUGUAAUAAUAAAAUCCUAAUUCUAAUAGAAUAUUAAAAAUUCUCUAAUUAGACCAUAAUAAUGCUAAGCAAGCUUAAUCAAAUUCAAAAAAACCUCAAAGAAAUUUCAAACAAAUAAUAAGAAUUUUUAAAGAAAUAUAAGAAGGAUCACAAAUAUCACUCAAAUAUAUCUCAAUUCAAUCUUAAUUUAAUUCUAGUUAAAAUCCUAUUGAACUUUAUUCAAACUUUAGGCCAAAACUAAUUGAAUCUUAAAUCUUAAUAAAAUCCUAAAUCCUAAAUCAGAUCCUAAACAAACCUUAAACCAAACCACAACCAAAUCCUAAAUCAAACCCUAAUCAAACCCUAAUCCAAAUCCUAAAUCCUAAACCAAAUUCUAAUCCAAAUCCUAAACCCUAAACCAAACCCUAAUUAAAUCCUAAAUCCUAAAUCAAACCCUAACCAAAUCCUAAACCCUAAAUAAAAUCUUAACCAAAUCCUAAACCAAACCCUAAAUCAAAUCCUAAUCAAAUCCUAAAUCAAAUCCUAAUC
rnacentral:lncRNA from 1 species